UACGAAGGGGGCUAGCGUUGCUCGGAAUUACUGGGCGUAAAGCGUGCGCAGGCGGCUAUGCAAGACAGAUGUGAAAUCCCCGGGCUCAACCUGGGAACUGCAUUUGUGACUGCAUAGCUAGAGUACGGUAGAGGGGGAUGGAAUUCCGCGUGUAGCAGUGAAAUGCGUAGAUAUGCGGAGGAACACCGAUGGCGAAGGCAAUCCCCUGGAUCUGUACUGACGCUCAUGCACGAAAGCGUGGGGAGCAAACAGG
rnacentral:rRNA from 1 species